rnacentral:rRNA from 1 species
UACGAGGGGGGCAAGCGUUGUUCGGAAUUAUUGGGCGUAAAGGGUGCGUAGGCGGUCUGAUAAGUCAUCUGUGAAAUCUAUGGGCUCAACCCAUAGUCUGCAGGCGAAACUGUCGGGCUUGAGUAUGGGAGAGGCGGGUGGGAAUUCCGGGUGUAGCGGUGGAAUGACGUAGAGAUCCGGAAGAACACCAGUGGCGAAGGCGGCCCGCUGGG